rnacentral:rRNA from 1 species
GAUGAACGCGGGGGGCGCCGCUAAUUCAUGCAAGUCGGGCGAACAGACGAGGAGCUUGCUCCUCUGAUGUUAGCGGCGGCCGGGUGAGUAACACGUGGAUAACCUACCUAUACGACUGGGAUAACUUCGGGAAACCGGAGGUAAAACCGGAUAACAUUUCUAACGGCAUGGUUCAACAGUGAAAGACGGUCUUGAUGUCACUUAUAGAUGGAUCAGCGCCGCAUUAGCUAGUUGGUAAGGUAACGGCUUACAAAGGCAACGAUGCGUAGCCGACCUGAGAGGGGGGUAGGCCGCCCGGGAAGGGAGCCAGCCCCCAGACUACUACGGGAGGCAGCAGUAGGGAACCUUCCGCAGUGGUCGAAAACCUUACGCAGGACCGCGGCGUGAGUCAAGAAGGUGCCCCGAUCGUAAAACUCUCUUAUUCGGGAAGACCCAAUGUCUCCGUAACUAUGCACGUCUUGACGGUACCUAAUCAGAAAGCCACGGCUAACUACGUG